AGAGUUUGAUCCUGGCUCAGGAUGAACGCUAGCGGCAGGCUUAACACAUGCAAGUCGAGGGGUAUAGUUCUUCGGAAUUAGAGACCGGCGCACGGGUGCGUAACGCGUAUGCAAUCUGCCUUUCACAGAGGGAUAGCCCAGAGAAAUUUGGAUUAAUACCUCAUAGCAUAACCUAACCGCAUGGUUGAGUUAUUAAAGUCACAACGGUGAAAGAUGAGCAUGCGUCCCAUUAGCUAGUUGGUAAGGUAACGGCUUACCAAGGCUACGAUGGGUAGGGGUCCUGAGAGGGAGAUCCCCCACACUGGUACUGAGACACGGACCAGACUCCUACGGGAGGCAGCAGUGAGGAAUAUUGGUCAAUGGGCGCAAGCCUGAACCAGCCAUGCCGCGUGCAGGAUGACGGUCCUAUGGAUUGUAAACUGCUUUUGUACGGGAAGAAACAACUCUACGUGUAGAGUCUUGACGGUACCGUAAGAAUAAGGAUCGGCUAACUCCGUGCCAGCAGCCGCGGUAAUACGGAGGAUCCAAGCGUUAUCCGGAAUCAUUGGGUUUAAAGGGUCCGUAGGCGGUUUAGUAAGUCAGUGGUGAAAGCCCAUCGCUCAACGGUGGAACGGCCAUUGAUACUGCUAGACUUGAAUUAUUAGGAAGUAACUAGAAUAUGUAGUGUAGCGGUGAAAUGCUUAGAGAUUACAUGGAAUACCAAUUGCGAAGGCAGGUUACUACUAAUGGAUUGACGCUGAUGGACGAAAGCGUGGGUAGCGAACAGGAUUAGAUACCCUAGUAGUCC
rnacentral:rRNA from 1 species